rnacentral:rRNA from 1 species
UACGGGGGGGGCAAGCGUUGUUCGGAAUUACUGGGCGUAAAGGGCUCGUAGGUGGCCAACUCAGUCGGACGUGAAAUCCCUCGGCUUAACCGGGGAACUGCGUCCGAUACUGGAUGGCUUGAGAUCGGGAGAGGGAUGCGGAAUUCCAGGUGUAGCGGUGAAAUGCGUAGAUAUCUGGAGGAAUACCGGUGGCGAAGGCGGCAUCCUGGACCGAGAUUGACACUGAGGAGCGAAAGCCAGGGGAGCAAACGGG